CCCCUAGAUGUUCUGGGCCGCACGCGCGCUACACUGAACAGUUCAACCAGUCUUAACCUUGGCCGAUAGGUCUGGGUAAUCUUUGAACGCUGUUCGUGAUUGGGAUAGACCUUUGCAAUUAUGGGUCUUCAACGAGGAAUUCCUAGUAAACGCAAGUCAUCAGCUUGCAUUGAUUACGUCCCUGCCCUUUGUACACACCGCCCGUCGCACCUACCGAUUGAAUGGUCCGGUGAAAUCUCGGGACGGCGGCUUGGUCGCUUGCGUCCGACUGCUGAAACUUGAUUAAACCAUAUCAUUUAGAGGAAGGUGAAGUCGUAACA
rnacentral:rRNA from 1 species